AUUGAACGCUGGCGGCAGGCCUAACACAUGCAAGUCGAGCGGAGCGGCGGACGGGCGAGUAAUGCCUAGGAAUCUGCCUGGUACUGGGGGAUAACGUCCGGAAACGGGCGCUAAUACCGCUUACUAUCAGAUGAGCCUAGGUCGGAUUAGCUAGUUGGUGGGGUAAAGGCCUACCAAGGCGACGAUCCGUAACUGGUCUGUGAGGAUGAUCAGUCACACUGGAACUGGGACACGGUCCAGACUCCUACGGGAGGCAGCAGUGGGGAAUAUUGGACAAUGGGCGGAAGCCUGAUCCAGCCAUGCCGCGUGUAUGAAGGAGGUCUUCGGGUUGUAAAGCACUUAAAGUUGGGAGGCGUUACCAACAGAAUAAGCACCGGCUAACUGCGUGCCAGCAGCCGCGGUGAUAC
rnacentral:rRNA from 1 species